AUGAUUUUGGUUGAUUCUAAGACAACGAAAGUGAAGGAUACCGGUUCUGCGGUUAAAAAUGUGUUAUCUGUUAUUGAAUCAUUGAAGAAGCAAGUAGCUAUGAAACAUAUUGUUUCACUCAAGGUUAUUAGUACUUAUGCUUUGAACAAAACAUGGUGGAUAAGUUUUCUGAUGGAUAUUAUUAGGGACAUUGUUGAUGUUAAGGGCAAUAUCUCUGCCUACACUAUCAACAGAGAAAAUCUAAACAAUAGACAAAAGCUUGGCUGUGAGAAGGGAACUGGUAUCGAUAGAGCAAGGAUGAAUAUGACAAAAUUAAGAAAUUCAGGGAUCUCAUGA
rnacentral:lncRNA from 1 species